rnacentral:rRNA from 1 species
GUCAAUGCUCGCAAGAGUGAACUAGCUAACUGAAAUCAUAUGACUCAUUAAUUGAUGGUGAUUAUGAUAACAUAAGGGAAAAAAAUGAUAUUACCUUAUUAUUAGUGUUGUCCAAAACUGGUGCCAGAAGACUCGGUAAGACCAGAGACGCAAACGUUAGUCAUCUUAAUCAGGCGUAAAGGGUUUGUAGGCUGCUUUAAAAGUUUAAAUUAUUUAAAAAGCUCUUUUACCGUAAUACUACCUUUAUUUAGAUUUGAAAAUAAUAAAAUAAAAUUUAAAAUAUACAAAUGGUAGUAUAUAAAAUUUAUUAUAUAAUAAAAUAAAUGAUAUUAAUAAAAUAUCCGUGUAUCAGUAAAGAAAUAAAUGAAUUAAAGCUAGGAUCAAAUUGAGGAUAAACCAAAUAAUACUUAGAGUAGGGCUUAUAUCCGCAGAUACUAAGGGGAAUACUAAAGGUGAAAACUUUUUAUCUACUAUUGAUUGACGCUGAGAAACGAAGGUGAGAACAGGAAAUAGGAUUAGAUACCCAGAUACCUCUCACUGUCAACGAUGAAUGGUGGUUUGUUAGUUUUAAUAAAAACUGGUAACGAUGUUAACACGAUAACCAUUCCGCCUUGCGAGUACGGUUGCAAAACUGAAA